rnacentral:rRNA from 1 species
UACGGCAGUGAAGUCAUUGAUGCCAUGCUUCCAGGAAAAGCCUCUAAGCUUCAGAUAGUCAGGAAUCGUACCCCAAACCGACACAGGUGGUCGGGUAGAGAAUACCAAGGCGCUUGAGAGAACUCGGGUGAAGGAACUAGGCAAAAUGGUACCGUAACUUCGGGAGAAGGUACGCUCUUGAUGGUGAAGUCCCUCGCGGAUGGAGCUGACGAGAGUCGCAGAUACCAGGUGGCUGCAACUGUUUAUUAAAAACACAGCACUGUGCAAAAUCGCAAGAUGACGUAUACGGUGUGACGCCUGCCCGGUGCCGGAAGGUUAAUUGAUGGGGUUAGCGCAAGCGAAGCUCUUGAUCGAAGCCCCGGUAAACGGCGGCCGUAACUAUAACGGUCCUAAGGUAGCGAAAUUCCUUGUCGGGUAAGUUCCGACCUGCACGAAUGGCGUAAUGAUGGCCACGCUGUCUCCACCCGAGACUCAGUGAAAUUGAAAUCGCUGUGAAGAUGCAGUGUACCCGCGGCUAGACGGAAAGACCCCGUGAACCUUUACUACAGCUUGGCACUGAACAUUGAACCUACAUGUGUAGGAUAGGUGGGAGGCUAUGAAGACGUGACGCCAGUUGCGUUGGAGCCGUCCUUGAAAUACCACCCUUGUAUGUUUGAUGUUCUAACUUAGACCCAUUAUCUGGGUUGAGGACAGUGCCUGGUGGGUAGUUUGACUGGGGCGGUCUCCUCCCAAAGAGUAACGGAGGAGCACGAAGGUGGGCUAAUCACGGUUGGACAUCGUGAGGUUAGUGCAAUGGCAUAAGCCCGCUUAACUGCGAGAAUGACGGUUCGAGCAGGUGCGAAAGCAGGUCAUAGUGAUCCGGUGGUUCUGUAUGGAAGGGCCAUCGCUCAACGGAUAAAAGGUACUCCGGGGAUAACAGGCUGAUACCGCCCAAGAGUUCAUAUCGACGGCGGUGUUUGGCACCUCGAUGUCGGCUCAUCACAUCCUGGGGCUGAAGUCGGUCCCAAGGGUAUGGCUGUUCGCCAUUUAAAGUGGUACGCGAGCUGGGUUUAGAACGUCGUGAGACAGUUCGGUCCCUAUCUGCCGUGGGCGUUGGAAGAUUGAAGGGGGCUGCUCCUAGUACGAGAGGACCGGAGUGGACGAACCUCUGGUGUUCGGGUUGUGUCGCCAGACGCAUUGCCCGGUAGCUAAGUUCGGAAUUGAUAAGCGCUGAAAGCAUCUAAGCGCGAAGCGAGCCCUGAGAUGAGUCUUCCCUGAUACUUUAAGUAUCCUAAAGGGUUGUUCGAGACUAGAACGUUGAUAGGCAGGGUGUGUAAGCGUUGUGAGGCGUUGAGCUAACCUGUACUAAUUGCCCGU